GAUGGACGCUGGCGGCGUGCCUAAUACAUGCAAGUCGAGCGAACAGACGAGGAGCUUGCUCCUCUGACGUUAGCGGCGGACGGGUGAGUAACACGUGGAUAACCUACCUAUAAGACUGGGAUAACUUCGGGAAACCUGAGCUAAUACCGGAUAAUAUAUUGAACUUCAUGGUUCAAUAGUGAAAGACGGUUUUGCUGUCACUUAUAGAUGGAUCCGCGCCGCAUUAGCUAGUUGGUAAGGUAACGGCUUACCAAGGCAACGAUGCGUAGCCGACCUGAGAGGGUGAUCGGGCACACUGGAACUGAGAAACGGUACAGACUCCUACGGGAGGCAGCAGUAGGGAAUCUUCCGCAAUGGGCGAAAGCCUGACGGAGCAACGCCGCGUGAGUGAUGAAGGUCUUCGGAUCGGAAAACUCUGUUAUUAGGGAAGAACAAAUGUGUAAGUAACUAUGCACGUCUUGACGGUACCUAAUCAGAAAGCCACGGCUAACUACGUG
rnacentral:rRNA from 1 species